UACGAAGGGGGCUAGCGUUGCUCGGAAUCACUGGGCGUAAAGCGCACGUAGGCGGAUUGCUAAGUCAGGGGUGAAAUCCUGGAGCUCAACUCCAGAACUGCCUUUGAUACUGGCGAUCUCGAGUUCGGGAGAGGUGAGUGGAACUGCGAGUGUAGAGGUGAAAUUCGUAGAUAUUCGCAAGAACACCAGUGGCGAAGGCGGCUCACUGGCCCGGUACUGACGCUGAGGCACGAAAGCGUGGGGAGCAAACAGGG
rnacentral:rRNA from 1 species